rnacentral:rRNA from 1 species
GACGAACCGUGCAAACGUUGUUCGGAAUCACUGGGCUUAAAGGGCGCGUAGGCGGCUCAUCAAGUCGGGGGUGAAAUACUUCAGCUUAACUGGAGAAGUGCCUUCGAUACUGGUGGGCUUGAGGGAGGUAGGGGUCUGUGGAACUUCUGGUGGAGCGGUGAAAUGCGUUGAUAUCAGAAGGAACGCCGGUGGCGAAAGCGAAGGACUGGACCUCUUCUGACGCUGAGGCGCGAAAGCUAGGGGAGCAAACGGG